UACAGAGGGUGCGAGCGUUAAUCGGAAUUACUGGGCGUAAAGCGCGCGUAGGCGGUGUCAUAAGUCGGGUGUGAAAUCCCUCGGCCUAACCGAGGAACUGCGCCCGAUACUGUGAUGCUUGAGGACCAGAGGGGUGCAUGGAAUUUCCGGUGGAGCGGUGAAAUGCGUUGAUAUCGGAAGGAACUCCGGCGGCGAAAGCGAUGCACUGGCUGGUUUCUGACGCUGAGGUGCGAAAGCCAGGGGAGCAAACGGG
rnacentral:rRNA from 1 species